CGUGCUGAGAACAGAUCGAUUCAGUAUUGAGUUGCAUUGGUUUGGUUAUGAUCAAGGAAGUGUUGCUUUGAGCACAAUCGAUUCUAAUUUCAUUAUGCUGGCGGGUUGUUUUCCAGUGGGCGUUAGUGAUGUGUCUUGGCGCCACAGCUUUCGAAUGAACAAAUGAAUAUUGUGCUAACGUAAACCCAUCACUAUAGUUAAAUAAUAGCUGACAUAUCACGGAAAGAUUGUCCUGUCGCUUUGCUUGUUCGCCUUGGAGAGCGUGGAAACGUGCAUAUUCUAGUCUCUUCAUUCAAACUGGCUAUGUGCUUUAAACUUCUGAAAUUAGCGUAGUACAUGCGCUUGAGAUUUCAACUCCUUUGAAACAGAACCGUCGGCAGUGAAGAAUCUCAGUCUAUGAAGAUGGUAGCGCAGUCGACAAACGAAAACGACACCAUGCAGGAGAACGCCCCUCGCUUCAGCUCUCCGAGCUCGAGCUUUCCACAACCUUCGGACCAGCAGCGGAGACGAACGCUGGGCAAAUGCGAGCCCUACAAACCUGACCCUGUCGGCGCAAGGCCUGUCGCUACUUUUGUCAGAUUCUUGCCAACAUCAUCCUUUGAUCACGAAUGCAUCAAGGUGGACACGGAAGCCAACACGGUGGGCAUAGAAUGCGGCGCGGCCACUGGCAAACUUCUUUGCUCGAAGAACCCUCCUCGAUCUCGAAUGAUGUCUUUGAACCAGAAGUUCUUGUCCUUCGGUGCAAAUAGUGUGUUCCUGAACGCAAGUCAGGAGGACUUCUUUAACAACGUCAUGCAAGAUAUGGUGGACAAAUCGCUGGAUGGCUACAGUGGAACUAUCAUCGCCUGUGGAUCGGUG